GUAUUUCUUCACCUAUCUUCCACAGACAUCCUAUUUCUUCUUCUACCUUUUCCCUUUUUUUGUCGUCAAUAAAGAGGGUUCCUACUAUAUGUAUAUUCCAAUAAUCAAAGUCUAUUGAAGACUUAUUUACUGAGGAUUCAUCAAUUCUUAGUGCAUAGCUAAGGGCUCAACAUAGAUAAGGUUAAGGGGUUUAGCUUCGGAUAAGGUAGGUUCAGGUUCAAGAGAUGAAGGUAUGAUUUUUAAGAGAUGCAGUUUUGAGGGGUGGCUUAAUUGUAGACUUAACUACCCUUGUAGACUUUUUUCUUUUGAAAAUUUUAAUCUUAGUUGCCAUUGUCUUUUUUCCUCUACUUGAAGGUUUUGCAGGCGUUGAUUCUAAUGCCUCUAUUUUCCUAUUGUCUUGAGCUUUCUCUGUUCCAGUACCCUUUUCCUUUUCUAUUUCAAUUUCAAUCUCUAAAUCUGCUCUUUCAGCUGCUGUUUUCUUUGCAGUAGCUUCUACUAUUGUAACUUCUUCCCUCUACCAGUUCGUUAAUAAAGUCAAAAAGAGGAUUUCUUCAGAUGAGCUUACGGUUUCUACUGUUGUUGCUUUUGUAGAUUCAGAGGCGAUGUCAUCUUUCUCUCUUUAUUAUGCCUUCGCUUCAUUUUCUUCUUGUUCAGCUUCAGUCACUUUUUCCUGUUUAGCCUCACUUUUCUUUUCUUGCUCUAUUUCCGUAUUAAUGUCUUUUUCAACAUCAACUUCAACUUCAACUUCAUUAGCUAUCUUAUCACCUUGCUUCUCAU
rnacentral:lncRNA from 1 species